rnacentral:rRNA from 1 species
CGAGGGGAGUGAAAAAGAACCUGAAACCGUGUACGUACAAGCAGUGGGAGCACGCUUAGGCGUGUGACUGCGUACCUUUUGUAUAAUGGGUCAGCGACUUAUAUUCUGUAGCAAGGUUAACCGAAUAGGGGAGCCGAAGGGAAACCGAGUCUUAACUGGGCGUUAAGUUGCAGGGUAUAGACCCGAAACCCGGUGAUCUAGCCAUGGGCAGGUUGAAGGUUGGGUAACACUAACUGGAGGACCGAACCGACUAAUGUUGAAAAAUUAGCGGAUGACUUGUGGCUGGGGGUGAAAGGCCAAUCAAACCGGGAGAUAGCUGGUUCUCCCCGAAAGCUAUUUAGGUAGCGCCUCGUGAAUUCAUCUCCGGGGGUAGAGCACUGUUUCGGCAAGGGGGUCAUCCCGACUUACCAACCCGAUGCAAACUGCGAAUACCGGAGAAUGUUAUCACGGGAGACACACGGCGGGUGCUAACGUCCGUCGUGAAGAGGGAAACAACCCAGACCGCCAGCUAAGGUCCCAAAGUCAUGGUUAAGUGGGAAACGAUGUGGGAAGGCCCAGACAGCCAGGAUGUUGGCUUAGAAGCAGCCAUCAUUUAAAGAAAGCGUAAUAGCUCACUGGUCGAGUCGGCCUGCGCGGAAGAUGUAACGGGGCUAAACCAUGCACCGAAGCUGCGGCAGCGACGCUGAUGCGUUGUUGGGUAGGGGAGCGUUCUGUAAGCCUGCGAAGGUGUGCUGUGAGGCAUGCUGGAGGUAUCAGAAGUGCGAAUGCUGACAUAAGUAACGAUAAAGCGGGUGAAAAGCCCGCUCGCCGGAAGACCAAGGGUUCCUGUCCAACGUUAAUCGGGGCAGGGUGAG